GCCCAGGUAGCUCAGUUGGUAGAGCAGGGGACUGAAAAUCCCCGUGUCGGCGGUUCGAUUCCGUCCCUGGGCACCA
rnacentral:tRNA from 1 species